rnacentral:rRNA from 1 species
GACGUAGGGCGCGAGCGUUGUCCGGAUUUAUUGGGCGUAAAGAGCUCGUAGGCGGUUUGUUGCGUCGGCUGUGAAAUCCCGACGGUCUCAACCUCGGGUCUGCAGUCGAUACGAGCAAAGCUAGAGUGAGUUGCAGGGAGACUGGAAAUUCCUGGUGUAGCGGUAGAAAUGCGCAGAUAUCAGGAGGAACACCGGUGGCGAAGGCGGGUCUCUGGGCAACAACGAUGACGCUGGAGGAGCGAAAGCGUGGGGAGCGAACAGGA